rnacentral:rRNA from 1 species
UACGAAGGGGGCUAGCGUUGCUCGGAAUGACUGGGCGUAAAGGGCGCGUAGGCGGCUUGCACAGUCAGGCGUGAAAUUCCUGGGCUCAACCUGGGGACUGCGCUUGAGACGUGUGGGCUUGAGUGGGGAAGAGGGUCGUGGAAUUCCCAGUGUAGAGGUGAAAUUCGUAGAUAUUGGGAAGAACACCGGUGGCGAAGGCGGCGACCUGGUCCUUGACUGACGCUGAGGCGCGAAGGCGUGGGGAGCAAACAGG